GCACCGCGCCGCUUAUCGGGGGGAGACGAACCGGCGGACGAGAAACGCACGGCUGUGUGACAAGCUGGUUUACAUGCACCAAUGGUCAGCUUCAUUCAGACAAUACGAAGGUCAGCAUGAGGCAGCAGCUAUUUCAGUCUGCGUUCCAUGGUGUGCAGACUGAGUGAAACAUGAUCCGAGAUGGGCAGUGCUCGAGUCAGCCAAUCCAGCGCCCCUCUGCUGCAGCAGGACGGUGCGCAAGGGUCGAGCAAGGUCAAGCAAGACUUGCUAUUGUCACGAGUACAAACCAGCUACUACGAUGUGUGCUCAUGUGGCUAAGUAAACACUGUGCCCUCGGAUGUAUGAUUAAAGAUUAAAGAGAUUACUGCAGUAGUAACCGACACAUUUUUAGAGGAAAUGUAAAACAUUUUAAUGUUUAGUUAUUUCACAGUGAAAAAGAACAGCACAAGUCGUUUUCAGCGGAAUUGUUUUUGGCAAAUGACAUCUAAAUCCAGAGAUGGUGUACCAUUUAUAGUGUCUACUGCAGCACGGGAGCCUGGUCCAUUCCACAGAGGUCAAUGUCUGGAUUGUCAAGGAUUAUGAGACAUAUACUGUAUUUGUAUUGAGAUGGACAGAGCAAAUGAAAUGAAGUCUUCAAAACUGCAACCAAAGCCAAAAAGAAUUCAAAACAAAAAGCUCAAAUUCAGUCGUAAUACAAAGUUAGGAAUAAUAAUAAUAAAAAAAAAAACAAAACAAAAAAAAAACAUGCAAACAGGCACAAGGGGUGAAUUAAAACAUUACAGUGACAGUGAAAGACGUGAACGUAACAAUACUGGUGUCCUGCUGUGCGGUGUAAUAUAUCGUAACAUCUACAUACACGCUUGAUUUGAUUUGACACAGCCAUGCAAAUGCAAUAUAUCCAAAAAACAGUAAAAGAAAGCCGUCUGCACACACAAGCAGGAGAAACCCGCCGACGCAUGCAGGAGUUUGAAUAAUUGCCCUCUCUCAUCAAUCAGUACAAAAUAAAAAUAAAAACGAUAGCAGCCACAGAUGGACAGGGAAAGUAAAAUCACUCAGGGUCACGAUGAUUCACAAAAUACUCAAACAUUACGAAAUGUACAGUAUAUUCAAGAAAACAUUCUGCAAAGUGCUUAAACUGUGUGCUUUGCUUUGUUACAGGUCACACAUCAGUCGAUGAUUCUACCGAGCCAAAGCUGUCUUGCAUUGAAUUCCUGCCCACAUUCAAGUUAAAAACACGAAAUAGUGAACAUCUAUGAUGUAAAUAGAUCGUCGAUGAUAGGUACUCCUAAAAAAAAAACAAAAA